AUUGAACGCUGGCGGCAGGCCUAACACAUGCAAGUCGAGCGGAUGAAGGGAGCUUGCUCCUGGAUUCAGCGGCGGACGGGUGAGUAAUGCCUAGGAAUCUGCCUGGUAGUGGGGGGUAACGUCCGGAAACGGGCGCUAAUACCGCAUACGUCCUGAGGGAGAAAGUGGGGGAUCUUCGGACCUCACGCUAUCAGAUGAGCCUAGGUCGGAUUAGCUAGUUGGUGGGGUAAAGGCCUACCAAGGCGACGAUCCGUAACUGGUCUGAGAGGAUGAUCAGUCACACUGGAACUGAGACACGGUCCAGACUCCUACGGGAGGCAGCAGUGGGGAAUAUUGGACAAUGGGCGAAAGCCUGAUCCAGCCAUGCCGCGUGUGUGAAGAAGGUCUUCGGAUUGUAAAGCACUUUAAGUUGGGAGGAAGGGCAGUAAGUUAAUACCUUGCUGUUUUGACGUUACCAACAGAAUAAGCGCCGGCUAACUUCGUG
rnacentral:rRNA from 1 species